rnacentral:rRNA from 1 species
AGACAGCAGCCGCCACGGGAAUACAGAGGGUGCGAGCGUUAAUCGGAUUUACUGGGCGUAAAGCGUGCGUAGGCGGCUUCUUAAGUCGGAUGUGAAAUCCCUGAGCUUAACUUAGGAAUUGCAUUCGAUACUGGGAAGCUAGAGUAUGGGAGAGGAUGGUAGAAUUCCAGGUGUAGCGGUGAAAUGCGUAGAGAUCUGGAGGAAUACCGAUGGCGAAGGCAGCCAUCUGGCCUAAUACUGACGCUGAGGUACAAAAGCAUGGGGAGCAAACAGGAUUAGAUACCCGCGUAGUCCCUGUCUCUUAUAC